GCAGGCCAAAUAAGUUUGGGAACCUCUGCACUAGAUUAAGAUACAAGACUUGGUCUCUCUGAAGGAGCUAGGUGCUGAAAUACGGCAAAUUGCUGAAAUCUACAGUAUUUAAAACCACCUCAGUGGCUCAAAUGGACUCAUCUAACUGCAUAAAACCUUGCAAGUGUUUUGGAAAAAUUGCACUGUGCUAGGUGCUGGACAAAGAAGAAAAUGAAGUCCCUCCCUGCAAGGAGUUUACUUUUUACCAGAGGAGACAACAUGCAC